CAUCUAAGUACCCCGAGGAAAAGAAAUCAACCGAGAUUCCCCCAGUAGCGGCGAGCGAACGGGGAGCAGCCCAGAGCCUGAAUCAGUGUGUGUGUUAGUGGAAGCGUCUGGAAAGGCGCGCGAUACAGGGUGACAGCCCCGUACACAAAAAUGGACAAGCUGUGAGCCCGGUGCGUAGGGCGGGACACGUGGUA
rnacentral:rRNA from 1 species